GAUGAACGCUGGCGGCGUGCCUAAUACAUGCAAGUCGAGCGAAUGGAUUAAGAGCUUGCUCUUAUGAAGUUAGCGGCGGACGGGUGAGUAACACGUGGGUAACCUGCCCAUAAGACUGGGAUAACUCCGGGAAACCGGGGCUAAUACCGGAUAACAUUUUGAACCGCAUGGUUCGAAAUUGAAAGGCGGCUUCGGCUGUCACUUAUGGAUGGACCCGCGUCGCAUUAGCUAGUUGGUGAGGUAACGGCUCACCAAGGCAACGAUGCGUAGCCGAGCUGGGAGGGGGAUGGGCCACACUGGGACUGAGACACCGCCCAGACUCCUGCGGGAGGCAGCAGUAGGGACCCUUCCGCAAUGGACGAAAGUCUGACGGAGCAACGCCGCGUGAGUGAUGAAGGCUUUCGGGUCGUAAAACUCUGUUGUUAGGGAAGAACAAGUGCUAGUUGAAUAAGCUGGCACCUUGACGGUGCCUAACCGGAAAGCCACGGCUAACUACGUGCCAGCCGCCGCAGUAA
rnacentral:rRNA from 1 species